UUGGAUGGUCGGUGGUUGUGGAAGGCGCUUGGGUGGUCAAUCGUUGCGGCAAGGGCUUGGUUGUUGCAAGCGCUUGGGUUGGGACUAGCUUGUCCCCCCUCUCCAUUCGGGUCUCGCUAAGAACACCUAAGGAGGUGUUUUUGGUGGGGCCAGUAUUAACAGUCCCACUUCAAACUAGUACCAAGUCAAAACAAACAUGGGAUAAAAAUUUGUCGAGUCCAAUCCAAGCUUAGAAGUUGUAACAAACGAG
rnacentral:lncRNA from 1 species